rnacentral:rRNA from 1 species
UACAGAGGGGGCAAGCGUUGUUCGGAAUUACUGGGCGUAAAGGGCGCGUAGGCGGCCUGCUAAGUCGAACGUGAAAUCCCCGGGCUUAACCCGGGAACUGCGUCCGAUACUGGUUGGCUUGAAUCCGGGAGAGGGAUGCGGAAUUCCAGGUGUAGCGGUGAAAUGCGUAGAUAUCUGGAGGAACACCGGUGGCGAAGGCGGCAUCCUGGACCGGCAUUGACGCUGAGGCGCGAAAGCCAGGGGAGCAAACGGG